GACGAACGCUGGCGGCGUGCUUAACACAUGCAAGUCGAACGGAAAGGCCCUGCUUUUGUGGGGUGCUCGAGUGGCGAAAGGGUGAGUAACACGUGAGUAACCUGCCCUUGACUUUGGGAUAACUUCAGGAAACUGGGGCUAAUACCGGAUAGGAGCUCCUGCUGCAUGGUGGGGGUUGGAAAGUUUCGGCGGUUGGGGAUGGACUCGCGGCUUAUCAGCUUGUUGGUGGGGUAGUGGCUUACCAAGGCUUUGACGGGUAGCCGGCCUGAGAGGGUGACCGGCCACAUUGGGACUGAGAUACGGCCCAGACUCGUACGGGAGGCAGCAGUGGGGAAUAUUGCACAAUGGGCGGAAGCCUGAUGCAGAAACGCCGCGUGCGGGAUGACGGCCUUCGGGUUGUAAACCGCUUUCGCCUGUGACGAAGCGUGAGUGACGGUAAUGGGUAAAGAAGCACCGGCUAACUACGUG
rnacentral:rRNA from 1 species